AUAUGGGGUACUCACAACGGUGUCAUAAGUGUCGUAUAGUUGUAUGUCGUAAAAUUUAAACGCAUAAAAAUGUUUAGACCAACAAA